rnacentral:rRNA from 1 species
UACAGAGGGUGCAAGCGUUGCUCGGAAUCACUGGGCGUAAAGGGUUCGUAGGCGGUUCUUUAAGUCAGGGGUGAAAUCCUGGAGCUCAACUCCAGAACUGCCUUUGAUACUGGGGAUCUCGAGUCCGGAAGAGGUGAGUGGAACUCCGAGUGUAGAGGUGAAAUUCGUAGAUAUUCGGAAGAACACCAGUGGCGAAGGCGGCUCACUGGUCCGGUACUGACGCUGAGGCGCGAAAGCCAGGGGAGCAAACGGG